AGUUGCACGCGCUUUCUCUGACCCCCAUAGUGGCAGGCGCGGCAUAUGGCUGCGCCUUUUAGCGCGCUCAUGCGGGCCACGCUGGAAACGUGCUCGCUCUUCGCCGGAAAGGUUUUGUUUGUCGACGGAGAUGGCGACUGAAUGACAACAGCGACGGCGUGAUGUCGUCACGAUUUAAGUCGUCAACAUCUUUUGUUUUCUUCGAUCGAGGCACCUCGCAUCAGUGACAUCUGGAUACGCUGGAGCGAGUUCUCCUUAUCGACUUUGAUGGGAGCGACGUUCGCGCCCCAUUUGCCACACGGGGCUGGAUUUCAUCGUCGACAUAGACUCUCUGCGCACCAUGCGUACAAAGGACCGAGAAUGAACGCUUGACGAUGCCGAGGUGCACCUCCGUUGCAGCACAGCAGGGCAUCGCUUACCUGAGCUACCUCAGAGACCACAUUUCCAACAACGUAACAUCAGUGCUUAUAGAUACAAUGCAGCAGCAUCCAAAGAUAACGAAUGCCUUCGCAACUUUUGGCACCUUCAGCGUUUUCCUCCGAAUCUGCGCCCAGUGCUUCCAAAUGGAUUGCAACGCUACUCUUCCCUGGCACAUAUCGAGCCAAGACCACCCGGCAGUACCAUACAAUCGAAUCGAAGAGAUGUUGCGAUGUCCAGAGGGACAACAUGGCUGCAAUGACUCGCCAGUCAACUGCACGGAGGAGCUCCUCGCCGUCACUUGCAGUUGCGGGAGAAAUUGCAACGUUUACGGAUCUUGCUGCUGGAAGGCCGAGGUUCACGAGUCGCCUGCCGCGCGAUCGAAGUGUGUUUCACUUAACGCUGCCAAUGAAUUUGGCGGAGGGUUUUAUGCUGUCUCGGGUUGCAAUCGGGACUGGCCGAAGGACGAAAUACGAAUGUCGUGUGAGAAUGCCACGAGGGAAGACGAUCCGUUUUUCUUUGUACCUGUCACCACUGAGCGAGAGGUCACGUAUUUCAACGCGUUCUGCGCCCUCUGCAACUACGACUUGGACAACACGUCUAUGUUCUGGAGCGCCUCAGGGAAUGACACUGAAGAUUUAACAGUGUAUCCACCGCAGUACGCAAUGCACAACAAAGAUGUCUUCUUCUGGCCCUGCGAUCCGACCUUGGUGGAUGUCGACGCUUGUCCCGAAGGCUCGGACGCGGAGACCAUGCGAAGAUGCUUGACUUACUUUGCUCCAGUGGGGCACAUGCGUGAAAAAUCCGAUGUCGGUCAGUACGCCUCCGAAGUCGUUUACAAGAACGUCUACUGCGGUCUCUGCAACGGAGCCAAUCUUUCAUCAUUAAAGUGUAUUCCGAAACAAGCAGUUCGCGAAUCAUGGGGCCGUGCUGUUGGGCUAAUCGCUAAUCCAGAUACAGUCACAACCUUAAAGCCGGUAGUAAGCCAAAGUUCAUGUUUCGUGUGGCACAACGGGAAGUGUUACGUGAGGGUGCCCCGACGCUUCCUGAACUAUUCGAUGGCAGGCACAAACGAAACAAGCAAUUUUAUAAACGCUACUAUCACCUCAGACGAUCCUUACAAUGUCAGAAGCUACCUCUCAACCAUAUGUAUCAGCUUGUCACUCAUAUGUCUCUUCUUGAAAGGCGUUGUAUUUGUGCUCUACAGGAGUUCGCGGACGUUCUCUUCCUGUUGUACAAUGUGCCUUGCCGGAACACUGUUCUGGACCCACCUGCUUCACCUUAUCGUGAAUACCGUCGACGAAAUUAGACCUUACUGCAAAGUUUUCGCCCCUCUUCUUCAUUUCGGCUUCCUCUCCACCUUCUUCUGGACGAGCGUGCUUUCGUUCGAUAUAUGGAAAAACCUGGUGACAGCCCGGCUUUCUUCCAGCAAGCGGAGUAGACUCGUAGUCUACGGUCUCAUCGCUUGGGGUGGCCCCGUAGUCAUGGUUGUCCUGGGCAUCGUGCUAGAUAAAGUUGAUUCGGACUUCGCCCUUUCGCCUAACUACGGACGCUCUUCCUGUUGGAUAGACAGCACGUGGAAUCUCGUAGCCUUCCUUCUCGCGCCAAUGGUAAUCAUGAUUGUGUUCGGCAUUGGUCUGUACGCGCACAUCGUCGUCCACGUAAGAAGAACGGCCAAGCGGGCCGCAACUUUCGACUUCAAAGGCGGUGAGAGCCGGUCCAACAUAACGCUCUUCAUAAAACUCGGUCUCAUUAUGGGCCUUACGUGGCUUGUGGCUUUCGUCAACCUCUUCUUCACCGCUUUGGUGCUCGACAUCGCUGUUACUAUCCUUGUUGGACUUCAAGGCGUGUACAUGUUCUUCGGCUUCAAGGACUAUAAGUACCUGCUUCCAAAGAGAUUUUGCACGAAAAGGAAAGCUAAAACUGCAGUCGCGCAUUCUGCGAAUACUGGUAUGUCCUCUCUUGCAACAUAAAUCAACUCCAGGGGAGGCGCGCACACAAGACACCUGCCAUGAGAUUCAGAUAUGAACAGAAGUAACGCGGCAUCUCCUUCCCAACUCUUUAUUUAUAGUUUCUUCUAUUGCGCAUCUUGUGUCUCGUUGCGUGGAGUCGGUUGACAGUCGGUCGAGGGAAAAAAAAAAGAAAAACUUUAUGACCACCCAUACUUCAAAGGCGAAAAUGAUGCCCUCGCCUUCAACGUGACUUGAAUGGUCUACUACUUGAAAAAAAAUAUAUAUUGAAGUGUUAAUCAGGGAUGUGAGAACAAUUGGUACACCGUCGCAUGAAACGCUGUUGUUUCGAAUGGAAUUAAUAAACAUAUAUCAAUAUAAUCAAAAUGCGUGGGGCCGAGAACUUCUCUGUAUGUCAUGGUAUACGCUAGAACUGUAUGUAUAUACAUUUAUUGCGCAGAACACAGAUGGGCUCGCUUGCAUUGCAUUUUCGAACAAAUUUACAGACUGUAUAAAAGUUGGAUCAUCUGAUGGUACACAACCCCGUGAUUAAUAAUGAUGCAGCCAAAAUUUAAUGAUGUAACACAAGUGCCCUCAUGGCCCCCAUUACACAAGAAACAGGGUGUUAAAUAUCACGCGUUAUUUUGUUAAGUUUCCGUGUUUUAGUGUCAUCCAUAUGAAGCCGACGUUGACUUUCAAGUGCGUAAAAAUAUGUACAGCGUAGUAAUGACUAAUGGUUUGAUUAAGCUCUCGCUGACAAUACUUGGUUGGCCCAAGUAAUGAGACAUUUCUCAGCCACGCGUAUGAAGAAACUUGAGGUCGAUCUCAAUAACGAUUGGUAUUAAAAAAAAAUAAGAGUGCUUUCGCUGAGGAUAUAUAUAGGUACGCCUCAUUAGGUCGCAAUGAAGAACUUUCGAAGGCCACCAAACGGUAGACACGACCUCUUGCUUUAUAAACGGAGUGUCAAAAGUCUAAGUUCAUUUUUUUUAUUUUAAGUGAAUAUUAUUGACUGCUGUCAGUGGCCACCUAUUUGUCCCAUAUUCGUCACCCUGCUUUCAUAAGCGGGCGCCUUUGCGUCUUGCGUGCCGAUGCGUGUAGAUUCUGGCGUCGUGCCACUUCGCAAAACGCUCGGCUAUCUUUCAGUCCUCACGCCCCCUCCCAUGCUUUCUUCAGCGCGCUUUUCUUUAGCCCCAGACAAUCAGCGCGAAUGAUCGUUGCGCCACUCGCCGUGCUUGUUAGCGCGCAGCCCUAGCUCUAGGCGCAUUCGUCCUUCACCGGGCAGGGUUUGUUUGUCGACUGAGAUGAAAAGCGAAGAAGAAGCCUUCGGACAACAACGACGAACCCGAGGGGGUUGCGCCGCAUGUCGGGGUCGUCAUAAUGUUACUCGUCAGCGUCAUUUGCUUCGACCGGGAUACCAAUGCCACAGGAACGUAAGCUGCGGAGAGGCAGGGGUGCUCUCGCUCUCCACUCCCGAACUUGUCCAAGGAAGCACGAAGCCUCCCCUCGUGAAGACAUGGCGAGACAC
rnacentral:misc_RNA from 1 species